rnacentral:rRNA from 1 species
GACGAACGCUGGCGGCGUGCUUAACAUAUGCAAGUCGAACGAAGAGCGACGGAAGCUUGCUUCUAUCAAUCUUAGUGGCGAACGGGUGAGUAACGCGUAAUCAACCUGCCCUUCAGAGGGGGACAACAGUUGGAAACGACUGCUAAUACCGCAUACGAUCUAACCUCGGCAUCGAGGAUAGAUGAAAGGUGGCCUCUACAUGUAAGCUAUCACUGAAGGAGGGGAUUGCGUCUGAUUAGCUAGUUGGAGGGGUAACGGCCCACCAAGGCGAUGAUCAGUAGCCGGUCUGAGAGGAUGAACGGCCACAUUGGGACUGAGACACGGCCCAGACUCCUACGGGAGGCAGCAGUGGGGAAUCUUCCGCAAUGGACGAAAGUCUGACGGAGCAACGCCGCGUGAGUGAUGACGGCCUUCGGGUUGUAAAGCUCUGUUAAUCGGGACGAAAGGCCUUCUUGCGAAUAGUGAGAAGGAUUGACGGUACCGGAAUAGAAAGCCACGGCUAACUACGUG